rnacentral:misc_RNA from 1 species
AAGACUAUAGACCUGCGGAGUACCUGCGGAAGGAUCAUUAACGUAUCUAUGAUGGGGUGCGGAGCGCCCUGCUCCGGUCGAACGGCCGUGCAGCGGGUGCGCCGCCCCCGUUCCACCUCACAAACCCACUGUGAACAUUCACCGGUGGAGGGGGCUCGGUCUGCGCCGUGUCCCCGAUGCCGAAUACCCAAACUCCAGUUGCAAAGAACGUCGUGCGGACUCGGUGCCGCCUAAAACAUG